rnacentral:rRNA from 1 species
UACGUAGGUGGCAAGCGUUGUCCGGAUUUAUUGGGCCUAAAGCAUCCGUAGCCGGUUCUGCAAGUCCCCCGUUAAAUCCAGCUGCUCAACAGAUGGGCCGCGGAGGAUACUACAGAGCUAGGAGGCAGGAGAGGCAAGCGGUACUCAGUGGGUAGGGGUAAAAUCCGUUGAUCCAUUGAAGACCACCAGUGGCGAAGGCGGCUUGCCAGAAUGCGCUCGACGGUGAGGGAUGAAAGCUGGGGGAGCAAACCGG